GAUGAACGCUAGCUACAGGCUUAACACAUGCAAGUCGCGGGGCAGCAUGGGGGUUGCUUGCAAUCCCCGAUGGCGACCGGCGCACGGGUGAGUAACGCGUAUCCAACCUGCCCUUCACCACGGGAUAACCCGGCGAAAGUCGGACUAAUACCGUAUGUUGUCCAUUGACGGCAUCCGAUUUGGACGAAAGGCUUGGCGGUGAGGGAUGGGGAUGCGUCCGAUUAGCCAGACGGCGGGGUAACGGCCCACCGGGGCUACGAUCGGUAGGGGUUCUGAGAGGGAAGUGCCCCCCACCUGGACCGGGGCCCGGGCCCGAAGCCUACGGGGGGGAGCAGUGGGGGAUAUUGGGCAAAGGGGGUUAGCCUUAACCCGCCAAGUAGCGUGCAGGAUGGCGGCCCUAUGGGUUGUAAACUGCUUUUAUGCGGGGAUAAAGUGGCCCACGUGUGGGCUUUUGCAGGUACCGCAUGAAUAAGGACCGGCUAAUUCCGUG
rnacentral:rRNA from 1 species